CGACUGGCCUGUGCGGACGCUUAGUUUCAGUCAUGAUGGGAAAAUGCUGGCGUCAGCCUCUGAGGAUCAUUUCAUUGACAUUGCUGAAGUAGAGACGGGUGAGAAGCUCUGGGAGAUUCAGUGCGAGUCUCCGACCUUCACUGUAGCGUGGCAUCCGAAGAGACCGCUGCUGGCGUACGCCUGCGACGAUAAAGAGGGCAAAUAUGACAGCAACCGAGAGGCAGGGACCGUCAAGCUCUUUGGACUUCCCAAUGACUCCUGAGGACCAGAGUUUUCAUGUGUUCAGGCGUAUUCUGCCUCAUUAGAGGUUUAAUCGAUGGCUCAUUCGAUAUACUUGCUUUGUAUUAGUUUUCUACUUGUUUUGAGGUGAAUGGUGUAAAUAGUUCAAAGAUAUUUUGAUGUUCAGCUCUCAUAUUAGGAGUUCCUGAAUGAUCAAGGUAUCAUUUGCAAGUAUAAAUAACUACUGCCUGCAGCUCUUCUACAGAAAAAAGGAUAAUGUUUAUCCUUUUCCAAAAACUGGCUUGGCGACCAAGAUAGAAGUCUAGUCUAAGUGGUUAUCAUAUCUGUGUAGAAGACUUGAAAAUCAUUUGACUCGCAGAGCAUGUUGUUGUUGUUUCCCAUAAUUGACCAUUGCCAUUUUGUAAAAAAA